UUGAACGCUGGCGGAAUGCUUUACACAUGCAAGUCGAGGGGCAGCACGGGUAGCAAUACUUGGUGGCGACCGGCGCAAGGGUGCGUAACGCGUGAGCAACAUGCCCGUAUCAGGGGAAUAAUCCAGGGAAACUUGGUCUAAUACCCCAUAGCAAUUGGAGGAGGCAUCUUUUUCAAUUUAAAGCUUUGGUGGAUACGGAUUGGCUCGCGUGACAUUAGCUAGAUGGUAAGGUAACGGCUUACCAUGGCUACGAUGUCUAGGGGUUCUGAGAGGAAGAUCCCCCACACUGGAACUGAGACACGGUCCAGACUCCUACGGGAGGCAGCAGUGAGGAAUAUUGGACAAUGGAUGGAAAUCUGAUCCAGCCAUGCCGCGUGCAGGAAGACGGCCCUAUGGGUUGUAAACUGCUUUUGUGUGGGAGCAAUAAGGUCUAUGCGUAGACUGAUGAGAGUACCAUACGAAUAAGCAUCGGCUAACUCCGU
rnacentral:rRNA from 1 species